rnacentral:rRNA from 1 species
GACGAACGCUGGCGGCGUGCUUAACACAUGCGAGUCGAACGGAAAGGCCCUGCUUUUGUGGGGUGCUCGAGUGGCGAACGGGUGAGUAACACGUGAGUAACCUGCCCUUGACUUUGGGAUAACUUCAGGAAACUGGGGCUAAUACCGGAUAGGAGCUCCUGCUGCAUGGUGGGGGUUGGAAAGGUUCGGUGGCUGGGGAUGGACUCGCGGCUUAUCAGCUUGUUGGUGGGGUAGUGGCUUACCAAGGCCUUGACGGGUAGCCGGCCUGAGAGGGUGACCGGCCACAUUGGGACUGAGAUACGGCCCAGACUCCUACGGGAGGCAGCAGUGGGGAAUAUUGCACAAUGGGCGGAAGCCUGAUGCAGCAACGCCGCGUGCGGGAUGACGGCCUUCGGGUUGUAAACCGCUUUCGCCUGUGACGAAGCGUGAGUGACGGUAAUGUGUAAGGAAGCACCGGCUAACUACGUG